rnacentral:rRNA from 1 species
UACGUAGGGGGCGAGCGUUGUCCGGAGUUACUGGGCGUAAAGCGCACGCAGGCGGUCUGCUAAGUUUGGAGUGACAGUUGGUGGCUUAACUGCCAAAGUGCUUCGAAAACUGACAGACUUGAGGGCUUCAGAGGGACACGGAAUUCCGGGUGGAGUGGUGAAAUGCGUAGAGAUCCGGAGGAACACCAAAGGCGAAGGCGGGUCUCUGGGCCGAUACUGACGCUGAGGAGCGAAAGCGUGGGGAGCGAACAGG